UCCUCCUCUCUGAUUGGCUGGUUCUCCUGUGACCUCUUACAGUGACCUAACUAACCCUAACUACGUUCCCACUACAACAUGUCUGAAACUGGGUCAGCGAAUACAUGCAGUUAUUGCUCUGAAUAUACGCGGAUAUUUAAAGUGCAUGGCGGAUUAAAUAAUCGUUAUGGAUAACCUCCAGCAGUAAGAAAUAUAAAGGCUCACUGCAGUUUGAGUGCUCAACAAGUAUUGACCCCAUACUAUGCUCAGCAAGUAGGGCCCUUGUAUUUCUGUGAAUCCUCAUGCAGUACAGUACUGCUGUUGGAAGAGGAGCAAACAGUGUGGUAUCUAUGGUCCACCAUCAUUUCAAGCAUCAUGGCUAUUGAGAAAAGAAUGUUUCAUUACAUAUGGACAAUUAUAGUGAACAAAAUAAGAAAAGUGUUGUAAUAAGCUCUGGAAUGUGGCUUGUUAUGAUGGGUCUACAUGAUGACUUGGAGUACAACCUGAUUGAGUCCCGGCAUACAGAAUUCAGUCCUGAACAUGUUUAGAAUGAGAAUGUCUUCUGCAUGACGUGGUAUAGAUAGUAUUCUUGAAGGAUUAUAAUUUCAACACAGAGACGGAGAUUAAUAUUUUUAGGCUGGGGGUUGGCAUGACAGGCAAAUUCACCAACCGUAUUACCAUUCCUGAGCUGGAUGCCAGUCGACAGUGGUACCUGUAUAAUGAAAUAGCGCCCCUUUGCAGCAACAGCAAUGUAUGCUCAAAACUAGCAGUGUCAAAGCCAUUAAAAUUGAUAAUUCAAGUCAUUUAAAACGAAUGGAAAAAAGUGUUUAACAUUUAAAGUAAUACAGAGAAAGAGCUCUGAAAUUUUGAUUAAUUUGAAAGUGUUUUUGAUUUUUUGAAGAUGUACUAGACCCAAUUUCCAUAUAUUUGAAAAAGAACAAAUGAUAGAUAUAGUUUAUGUAAACAUUGAAUGAACAACUUUAUGGUGUCAACAGUACUAUGUAUUUGUUAAAUAUUGACUAACUAUUUACAUAUUAGGCUGAACACAGUAUAAAUGUGAAAUUCCUCUAAAACACUGGAAGAUUUUUCAACAAUAAUUGUAACAUAUAUGGUAGUAAUGUACAUUUUUUUCAUUACGACAGUUGGAUUAUAUAGAUCUACGAAUAUUUUCUGCUGUAUUCAAACUGCAUGUAAUCAUUUCUGUCGGCAGAAUCAUGUUUAUUUUCCCUUUUCAUGAACAAUUAAUUUAACCUGUCUUGAAAGCACAAUAUAUGUAUAAUUUGUAAAACAUACAUUGGAUUAUUGUGGAAACAAUUUAGUUUUUGUAUGCCUAAUUUUAUAUUAUUGCCGCUAGUAUCAUCUAACUCUUUUAAUAUGAUCAAGACAUUUAAUAAGGCAGUUUUCUUAAACAAUUACUGUGUGUUAAAUGAGACUAUGUAGUAUUAUGUUUACGGAAUUAACUGCGUAACCAUGGAAACAUUUUUCUGUUGUUCUAUAUUAUGUCUUGAAAAAAACAUUGUUUGAAGAACACUUUUCAGUGGUGCAUUUUUUUUAAAUUUUUACAUGUAAUGGUAAAUGCUGAAAGUGUUCUACAAUAACUUAGCAAAAACGUCAUUGUUGUCUCACUGAAGCAUAUUCUGCAACUCCAUUGUAACCAUAGCAACAGAAAUAUAUUGUAUUAUUUAUGAAUAAUGAUCUUCACAAAUAAAUUACAUAUGUUAUUUUUCUCAAAGAAUGACCUAAAUUGGUUUUAUUCCAUAAAAAAACAGACAUAGCAAAUAUUCUCAUUUUUAUCUCCGUUUCCAUGGCAACCAUAUAUUUUUUUGCCUCAAAUUAUAGGCGUUGCUUAGGGUUAUAUCUUAGGAUAUCUGAAUGUUAAUUAUACGUUCUGAUGUAAUUGUUAUACGAGAUUUUCGUGUUUUCAUAAAGAAAAUCAAUCGGUUGCCAUGGCAACAGCACAAUUUCAAAUGAAUUAAAAUAUGAGAU